GAUAAAGGGCUUUUCAUUGAAUUGAAAUAUCGAGUUGAUACAACCGCAUCAAAGAUCACCCGGCCUCUGCAUAGCUAGAUGCACACAGCCAAAGUUUCAAAGUACUAGAAGUCAAAAAAAAAGGCAAAAAACGCCAGCAGUAGCGAAAAAAGAUAAAAGAGGCCUAAGGUGAUGCCGGUCCAAUCCGAAGGUCACACCGCCAUCCAUGGGGGUAAAAAAUGUCCCUGGCCGAGCACUCCAACCGGGUAGAAGCCAUCAUAAAAAGGUCUCUGUCCUCCGGCCUCUGCAGGAUAGACCACAUACGGAGCCAUCGCAAGCAUAUAUGAAUUACCUGCAUAGGAGAUGAAACACUUUUAUGAUUAAAAACAAUAUCAUUCCUGGUGAGCCACAACGCCCAACAUAAGGCAGCCGCCCCCGCAAGAAUGUGCUUAGACAAUUGUUUAUCUAUUCCCCUCAACCAUUUGACGAACAUAUUCCGUACGCUGCAUGGAGGAUAUAGAUUCGAAGCAAUUUGGACUAUUGCCCAUACCGAUCUAGCAAACUUGCAAUCAAAAAAUAGGUGUUUAAUGGAUUCAUUAUGAUUGCAGAAAACACAUUUUUUGCAGCCUUGCCAGUUUCGUCGAGCUAGAUUGUCCCUAGUUAAGAUAACUCCUUUGUUGAGAAACCAUAGGAAAAUUUUCACUUUUAGAGGAAUCUUAAGCUUCCACAAUUUUCUAUUAUCAGAUGGAACCUCGUUAUGAACCAAUGCAUCAUACAUGGAUUUAACCGAAAAUCUUCCAUUCAGAUGCAGGUUUCAUUUAAAGAUGUCCGAUUCAGCCGACAGUUGGACAGCUCCCAAACGAGUCAGCAAAUCGUUCCAUGCAGUCAGACGAGGUCCAGAAAUCGUUUUGCGAAAAGAAAUAUCCGGGUGUUCUUGUCCCAAUACCUGCUUAAUCGUGACAAACUUAUGUCUAACUAUCCGAUAUAAGCUUGGGUAUUGCACAUUUAGAGGAGUAGUCCCGAGCCAGGUGUCUUCCCAGAAUCGAAUCUGGGAGCCGUCCCUAACCGAGAAAGUGCCAAAUUGGAAAAAGAAUUCUUUAGCUUUCAUAACCCCACUCCAAAAAUGAGAGUCACCUGGUUUCCAGUAGACCUGAGAGAUUGCUUUGGACCCAACGUAUUUAUUACGAAUGAUCUCCUGCCAAACACCAUCCUCAAUGAGUAAUCUGUAUACCCAUUUGCUGAGCAAUGCAAUGUUUUUGAUCUCAAGAUCCUGGAUUCCGAGUCCCCCUUGGCUUUUAGGACGACAUAAUAUAUUCCACCUAGCCAAGCGAUAUUUCUUUUUUCAUUGUCACUCUGCCAAAAAAACCUUGAUCUAAAAUAAUCAAGGCGUUGGAGAACACCUUUUGGCAGAUAAAAAAAGAUAGCAUGUAAAGGACCAUGUUGGUAAGAACCGAGUUGAUCAGAACUAGUCGGCCCCCAUAGGACAAGAGUUUGGCCUUCCAGCUCGCCAACCGUUUCUCCAGUCUCUCUUCAACAUGUUUCCAUUCAGCGAUUGUCAAACGCCGAUAAUGAAUAGGAAUACCUAGAUAUCGAAUCAGAAAUUGGCCUAGUUGGCAUCCAAAAAUAUCAGCAUAUUCUUGUGAAGUCUCUGCGGCUUCGCCAAAGCAGAAAAGUUCACUCUUAUGAAAGUUUAUCUUAAGGCCAGAAAGAUCCUCAAAAGCACAUAAUAACAAUUUGAGGUUUCUAGCCUUUUGUAGGUCGUGAUUCAAAAACAAAAUGGUGUCAUCCGCAUACUGUAAGAUUGAUAGGCCUCCUUCUACUAGAUGAGGAAUGACCCUGGUGAUUUGACCAGCUAGCUUGGCCCUCUCAAUGAGAGUAACUAGCAUAUCAGCCACGAUGUUGAAAAGGAUAGGUGAUGCGGGGUCGCCUUGGCGUAGCCCCUUCCUAGUCUGGAAAUAAUUGCCUACGUCAUCGUUCACCUUGAUAGCCACGCUACCUCCAGACACAAAGUUCUCAACCCAUCGGCACCAAGUAUCGGAAAACCCUUUCAUACGAAGAGUUUGAAGCAAAAAAGGCCACUUCACCUUAUCAUAAGCUUUCUCGAAGUCAAUCUUAAAGAUGACCCCAUUCAACUUUUUACGGUGGAGCUCAUGAACAGUUUCAUGUAGGACAGCAACACCGUCUAAGAUGUUCCGUCCUUGCAUGAAAGUUGUUUGUGUUGGUUUGACUACAUGGUCUGCGACCCCAUUCAGCCGGUUAGUCGCGACCUUGGUGAAAAUUUUAAAGCUCACGUUUAAUAAGCAAAUCGGUCUAUAUUGUUGAAUCCGAUUGGCAUCCUUUAUCUUUGGUAAAAGGAUAAUUUCACCAAAAUUGAGUCUGGAGAUGUCUAGUCUAUGAGCAUGCAGUUCAUUAAACAAUUGAACCAGGUCAGACUUUAACAUAUCCCAAAAAAAUUGAUAAAACUCCGCCGGAAAACCGUCCGGUCCCAGAGAUUUGUUGUGUUUCAUUUGAAAAAUCGCAGUCCGUAUUUCCUCCUCAGUGAAAGCAGAGGUUAGGAAUUCAUUUUCCGCAGUGGAAACUUGCUGGAUGUCAUGACAAAUAGACUCAUCCAUCUCCAGCAUAGUUUCCGAGGAAGGACCAAACAAGUCUUUAUAGUAUUUUGUAAUAAAGUCCUUGAGCGGAGCGUCCCCCUCAAUGCGACCCUCAUCCUGAUCAAGGGUGAAUAUUCGUUUCUUUCUAUGUCUGCCAUUGGCUAACAUUUGAAAGUACUUCGUGUUAUCAUCCCCAAGUACCAACGAGUCGCUCUUGCACCGUUGGUACCAUUUGAUUUCCUCUUCGCGUAAGAGACGGGCUAGCUGCUCAUUGAGAUGACCUUUUUGCUCAAUCUCAGCCGCAGAUAGAAGCCUCACUUCCGCGAUCUUAUCUAAGGAGUCGAUCAAGACAGAUAGUCGCAACUUCUCUUUCUUAUAAAUCCUAGCGGUGUGUUUAGCCCAUCCGCGGAGGAAUUGGCGCAACGCACGAAUGCGAUUAUUCCAACGUUGAAUUGGUGUAUCACCCCGUGUUGGGCGUUGCCACACCUUUUUAACCAAUUCAGGGAAACCCUCUCUAGUGAGCCACCCCAGUUCAAAUUUAAACUGAUGGCGGUUCGAAGUGGGUGCUGCUUGACCAAAAUCAGUAAGCAAUGGAGCAUGAUCCGAUAAGGCCUCAAUUCUCUCCAAAGCCCGCACUGAUGCUAAUGGAUAUUUAAAUUCCCAGUCUGUGGUGACUAGCACCCGAUCAAGUUUUUCGAACGUCGGGAUAGAUCUAUUAUUGGCCCAGGUAAAUUGGCGCCCCGAGAGAGAGAGUUCCCGCAAAUCAAGACUGUCAAUGACAGCAUUAAAAAGAAACGGCCAUCGAGUGUCGAACCUAUCAUUGUUUUUAUCCUGCUGGUAUCGGAAAAUAUUGAAGUCCCCCCAAGUAGCAUGGGGUGAGGAUUUUCUCUGCAGGUAUUGACAAGUUCUUUGAGGAAGGCCGCUUUAAAUUCAUCUUGAGCAGCACCAUAUACGGCAACCAAGCUCCAAAUGAAAUUAUCGGAUUUGUUUCUAAGGUGGAAUUUAAUAUGAUACUCCCCCUUUGAAGUUGAAAGAAGUUCCAAGUAAGUGGAGUGUAUUCCUAAAAGAAUACCUCCGGACCUCCCUGAAGGCAGCAGGAUAUGCCAUUCGUAAUCUUUGCCACAUGAAAAAUGGUCCAAAUCACGCGUUGGAAAGUCACGCUUACUACACUUAGAGAUUGCCACGAAGUCGAGGGCAUGAUCCCUAACACAAUCGGAAAUAUGUUUGUACUUAGCCAAGUCACCAAGACCUCUGCUAUUCCAAAACAUUCCUUUCAUGGAGAAACUUUAUUACGUUUGGAUACUUUGGUCUUCUUCUUAGGGUGACCCUUUUUACUACUAGAGUUAGACUUGUUCUUACGUACCGAUGCAACGAGCUCACAAAGCAUCGUAUCACGCAUGGUAUCUUCAAAGUCUACCUCUAUAGUAUCAUUGACCAGAUGAGAGAGGUGUCUGCCUUCAUGGUUGGCAUCGGACUCCUCAUCCUCCUCAUCUGAUACUAGUGGAUCCACCGUCAGAAGCGUUCUAGGAGCAACCGUAAGCCGGUCGAACUCCAUUUCCUUAAGAGUUUUAACUGAGAAAUCAACUACUGCAUCAUUUCUACCUAAUGAAAUACCAAGGCUAGCAAUAUUUGAAGACAUUUUGGCUUUAUCAAAAGAUAGAAAUGAUUUGCAAGGAGACGUACCAUCAAAGUCGAGGUUCCGCGAUGCCGUUCUACGCAUGGCCCUCUGCAUGGAAUCCUCAUCAGUGGCAGAGGCCCCAUCAGCCCCAACAACAUGGCGGCCGCUACGUCUAGGCGGUGAAGUAGUAAACUCCAAAGCAACCCGCAUCCCCGAGGGCCAUAAAGGUGGUGUAGAUGGCUCCGGCGUAGCAGCGGGAGACCUAGAACGCUGCAGCUCAUCCUCCAUAACAGCGAUACAAGGAGCAGCCUCCUCAUCCCGCAGCGGCGACGCAGGAGACAGCGUCGGCCCCGUCGACGCUGCGGGAGACCAUGAAAGCUGCAGCUCAUCCUCCAUGACAGCGUUCGUAGGAGCAGCCUCCUCGUACUGCGACGGCGGCGUAGGAGACAGCACCCGAAGCGUCGCCAAGGCCAUGUCAUGAUCUGCACGCACCGCCGGGGAGAAAAUCACACCCCGACGACCAGAAGAAGCCGAUGUCGGUGUCGUUAGAUGCUCCAAAGCAGCCUCCAACGGUGAUCCCAUCGCCAAGGGCGCCGCAGGCCCAUCAACCCAUGUCCGAAUAGCUGACAUGGGCGAAGCAUCCGGUUGAGGUGGUGGAGGCGGUGCAGAGCUGGCAAGCGAGGGAGGGUUCUGGGGCGGCACGAGCUCCGUUGCCGCUGGCGGGUCCCCCGACAAAGGCUGCGAUGCCAAGCAUGGAUGUGUACUGGCAGGAACGGUCGUGGAAGAGGUGAUUUGCAUCGGAACCACUCCUCCCAAGGAAGAUGAUGCCGCCGUGUUAGCUGACGACGAAGACGCUUUCGGCCUCUUGCUCUUGUCAUCAGCCCUUGAAGUGUCCUCUCGAUCCUGCUCCUUGUCCCCUUCCGUAUCAUCGCCAUGCUCCCAAACGCGAGGCACAAAAUCAGCGUCCACACGGAAAUCAUCAUCUUCCAGAGUGUACCGGAAUUCAUAGCCCUUCUUCUGAACAACCACAUCCGACGAGAGGGAGUUGACAGGGCUCAUCUUAAAAGCAUCAAGAUUAAGCACGCCAACCUGAAUCCUCACAAUACCACGGCGGCGCAAGCAAAGGAGGUCGACGUCAAGAGUGGCGCCAAUAACAGAGCCAACUGCCCAGAGACCCAAGAAAUGUCGGAGAGCGUGAGGAACUCCGUGUACAUGCACCCAAACUGGAAUAAGCUCAAAACGAUUCGGAAUCUCCUCGGAAUGACAAGCCUUGAACUCCAAAGUGACUUUAUGCGAAUUGAUGAAGACCGUGAAACCAGUAACUCUCAGGAGCACCUCGUCACUGGGAAAAGACAUGAUAAAAGCAUUCUGGCCAUGAGGGAUAGCCUCCCACGUCCACUGUUGCUGAUAUUGAGCGAUCUUAGCAACCUCCGCCUCCACAAUGCUCGAAGAGAUAGAGCCUCCCGAGAUCGAAACAAGAGCCGUUGGGGAGGAUUGUGGUGCGAGGUCUGCCCUGCAAACAUUGUCAGGCAUCUGAAAGAAGGCCAUGCUCUCAGUCCCAUAGCAUCGCCGCCGGCUUCGGCAUCUUGAGAGCUGGACACCGCCGAGUAGUCAUCGGAUGGUUCGCCUUGUUACAGAUGAAACAAUAUUGCUGUGUUUCACAAUCUAAAGCCACAUGUCCGGCCGACUGACACUUGGUACACCAUAACUUGGUCAUUACCGUGUUCACCCCGGGAGCAGGUGCCACCUGAGCCACAUCAUGUUGUUGUUGAGCCGGUGCCAUAAGAGGAGCAGCAGUCACAAGAGGCCCCGAGACAAAAGCCGGAGCACCUUGUACGCCAUGAUAGGGCAAGGUGAGUGGAGCAGCGAUGAUCGGGGUGUUUCCCGCAUAGUUCUUAGGCCGAUUUCCUUUUCCUCCCUUCGGUUUCCUAGGACGGAUAUUCCCUGUCUGAACUCCGGCCGCCGAGUUUGCCAGACCAGCGUUAAAGGCCAUUGGCUGGACAGCAGUGGGGUGACCAUGGCUCUGUUGCAAGAAAGGGCCGGCUAGUUGAUAUGAGUACACCGGCGCCAUUUGCUGCAUGUACCCCGGCGGCGCAUGAUACAUCGGUUGCUGCUGAAAGAACUGCUGCGGCAUUUGAUACAUCUGUUGUUGCUGCUGCCCCGGUGCUGGAGUCUGUUGGGGAAGGUUCGGCAUGACACUUUGAGCGGAGGAAGAAGGGAUCACCGGGGGGAACACCCCAGGUGCGAAGCCAGGGGUGCCACCAGACGAGGAGGCGUCCGAGGGCAUCGGCGCGGCGGCUGCAGGUCGGACCUGCCCAGAGCCCGGCGGCGCGGACGCGUCGCGACCCAUCCCCGAGCAGACGGCAGCCAUGAAGGAUCGAGGAAGAUUAGGGUUUCUGCGAGGAGUGUCCCUGUUCCACAUAUGAAACAACCAACGGUUGAGAUUAACCAUGCGUAAAGAACGGUUCAGAUGUGACGCACCUGAGAUUGGGUGAGGGCCCAGGCCCAUCGACCACCCCGACUCGUCCGGCGAAAUGCCCGUCGCACGAAACAUCGGAGGCGCCGUCGGCGUGAUCACCGCCGUCCUCGCCAAGCCGGCCGAGGGCAUGGCAUCUCCCAGAGUACGAGAGGGAGAGACUCUGGGGGCAGGGAGAGGUCCGAUCCAGGGCCGUACCAGAGGCCUAGAUAUAGCCGGAGCCCUCACGAGCUGGCAUGCAGCCGGCGACGACCCCCGCGAAUGAAUUGCCGGCGAGGUCGAAGAACCGUUUACCUCUUGUGCACAAUCCUUCUGAGCAGAUCCUCGCCUAGAAGACGGUCUCUCCCAUACUCGUGAGGCUGAUGUAGGAUACCCAAUGUCGGCCCACAACUCGGCGGCCAGCUCCUCGUCAGUCUUACGCCGGCGCGAUGCCUCGGAGGUCUCGGCCGUCGAGGAGUCCUCACCUCCGUCAUUUGCACGGAGGCAAGAAAAUCGUGAUCCAGAUCCGGCCGGCACCGGAGCGGACCACCCCGACGCUAAGGUCAGGCGCUGGCGGGUGGAGAUCCGCAUCUCGCGGAGCUGCUAUUGCCCUCUAGUUAAAUGUAGCAUGUAGACUUUGAUCUUGGUAUCAUUUGCAUUAAUGUUCUGAUGUGUUUUGAACUUUUGAUGCCUGGUUUAAAAAGUUGUUUGCUUAGUGAUGAAAGAUGAGGCGAUGAAUGCAAAAGAGGGCAAGCGAUUGUUACUGUCUAGUGUCUACUGGUAAUAGUGGAUAGAGAUCGGGCAAGAGUUUUUAGUUAUUCCCCUUUGGCAACUGUCUGCUGCUAGUACUGGUAAUUUCUGGCUGACUCCAAUUACACUUUCUCUGAACAACUAUCCUCUUAUCACAGUAAAGGCUUUGGAUCGUCGGACGAUCUGUCGAGCCUCUUCUUCAUCCUCCGGGAGUUCUUUUUUAAGAAUGUAUGCAAUGUAAGGCACUGUCCAGUCGGGAGUGAUGACCAAAACCUCCAUGAUCAAGUCGACCACGGCUGGGACUUCGACUUCAGUCGGAUCUGUGGCACUCUUAGGCUGUGGGGGCUCUUCAGUGAAAGGAUCUUCCUGAACUGAAGGCGAGUGAAUAUGUUCCAAAAACACAUUGCUGGGAAUGGUCUCUCUCUUGGAUCCUAUCUUUGCCAAUUCAUCUGCAGCUUGAUUUUUCAGUCGGGGUAUAUGAUGAAGCUCCAACCCCUCAAACUUCUUUUCCAACUUUCUUACCGCGUUGCAAUAACGAGUCAUAGCUGGGCUCCUGACAUCCCACUCUUUCAUUACUUGAUUAACCACCAAAUCCGAGUCGCCAUAGACCAUGAGGCGACAGACGCCGAGUGAAAUGGCCAUAAGCAACCCAUAUAAAAGUGCUUCAUAUUCAGCUUCAUUGUUGGAGGAAUCAAAAUGAUUCUGGAGAACGUAGCUGAGCUUGUCUCCACGGGGGGAUCCCAAUAACUACCCCAGCACCGGAACCAUUCAGCAUCUUGGAUCCAUCGAAGAACAUGGUCCAAUGCUCCGAGUGAACUUGAGUCGGCAGUUGCUGCUCAAUCCACUCGGCAAGGAAAUCUGCAAUUGCUUGGGACUUGAUAGCUUUCUUUGCCUCAAACUUGAUAUCCAAUGGAAGGAGUUCAAUCGCCCAUUUUGCCACUCGACCAAUUGCAUCUCUGUUAUUCAGAAUUUUAGACGAUGGUGCAUCGCUGACGACUGUAAUGGAGUGAUCAGAGAAAUAAUGUGCAACCUUCUUCAUGGUCAUGUAAAUUCCAUAAACAAGCUUCUGACAAUGCGGAUAUCUCUGAUGGAGUCAAAACUUCAGAAAGAUAAUACACUGGGCGCUGAACUUUAUAGGCUUUUCCAUCUUCUUCCCGCUCGACUGUGAGUACUGUACUGACAACUUGUCCAGUGGCUGCAAUGUAAAGCAGUAAAGGCUCUUUGCUGAUUGGUGCAGCAAGCACCGGCUGGGUGGAAAGCAGGGCUUUGAGCUCUGCAAACGCUGCGUCAGCUUCAUCAGUCCACUUGAACUUAUCAGAUUUCUUCAUCAAUCGGUAAAGAGGUAAGGCCUUUUCACCGAGACGAGAAAUGAAUCGACUCAAGGCGGCCAAACAACCAGUAAGCUUCUGAACGUCAUGCACACGCACAUGGCGUUUCAUUCGGAGGAUGGCAUCGACUUUCACCGGGUUCGCGUCGAUCCCUUGUUCGGAAACGAGGAAACCGAGUAGUUUUCCACCCGGGACUCCAAAUGUGCACUUCGACGGAUUAAGCUUGAUAUCAUACCUUCUCAUGUUGGCAAAGUUUUUUGCGAGGUCGGUCAGUAGGUCGGAACCCUUACGCGACUUGACCACAUUGUCAUCCAUGUAUGCUUCCACAUUCCGACUGAUUUGAGUGAGCAGGCACUUUUGAAUCAUCCUCAUGAAUGUGGCGCCAGCAUUUUUGAGACCAAAUGACAUGGUGACAUAACAAAAGCACCCGAAUGGGGUGAUGAAAGCUGUUUUUAUUUCAUCGGGACCAUACAGUCGGAUCUGAUGAUACCCGGAAUAUGCAUCUAGAAAAGACAAGCGCUCGCACCCCGCAGUCGAGUCGACAAUCUGAUCGAUGCGGGGGAGAGGAAAAUGAUCUUUUGGGCAGGCCCGACUGAUAUGCUUGAAAUUGAUGCACACACGAAGUGAAUCGUCAUUCUCAGGGACCAUGACCACAUUGGCAAGCCACUCGGAGUGGUAGAUCUCUCGGAUGAACUCUGCUGCUAGGAGCCGAGCCACUUCCUCGCCAAUUGCUUUUCUCUUCUUCACGGCGGACUGCCAAAGAUGCUCUUUGACAGGUUUUGCCUUUGGAUCGACACGCAAACGGUGCUCAGCCAGUUCUCUGGGUACACCCGGCAUGUCGGAAGGUUUCCAUGCAAAGAUGUCCCAGUUCUCACGGAGGAACUGGAUGAGCGCUUCUUCCUAUUUGCUAUCGAGUGUCGUUGGGAUAUGAGUCGGUGCAGCAUUGGGAUCAGUCGGGUGGAUAUGAAUCGGCUUCAUUUCUCCAGACGACUGAAAUGUAGAAUCGGCGGCGGUCUUCUUAGCUCGGAGCAAAUCACUCGGAUAUGCAUUCUUCUGAUAUUCUUGGAAUUCAACUGCUGCCAUUUGUGCAUCGGCAAUUUUAGAACCCUUCUGGAAGCAUUCUUUUGCCUUCUGCCGAUUACCAGUGACUGUGAUCACUCCUCUGGGGCCGGGCAUCUUCAGCUUGAGAUACACAUAACAUGGCCGAGCCAUAAAACGUGCAUAAGCAGGCCUACCCAGAAUAGCAUGAUAAGCACUCUGGAAAUCUACUACUUCGAAUGUCAACUUUUCCUUGCGGUAAUUCUUGGAAUCACCGAAAACCACGUCAAGGGCGAUCUGGCCGAGUGAUUCGGCUUUCUUUUCAGGGAUAACGCCAUGAAAACUCAUAUUGCUUUCACUAAGCUUGGACAUCGGAAUGCCCAUCCCCUUCAAGGUUUCAGCAUAAAGGAUAUUCAAACCGCUACCACCAUCCAUUAGCACUUUGGUCAGUCGAGUGCCUUCGACCACUGGAUCGACCACCAACGCUUGCCUCCCAGGAGUGGCUAUACGCGUCGAGUGAUCAGACUGGUCGAAUGUGAUGGUUGUUUGUGACCAUUUCAGGUAUGUGGUAGUCGUUGCCGGAGCAACCAUAUUCACUUCUCUGUUGAUAACUUUCAAUCGACUCUUGCUCUCAACAUCAGCAAAACUCAUCAGGAUGGAAUUGACUUUGGGAUAACCAUCAUCUUCCUCUUCAUCCUCGUCUUUGUCCGACUCUUUCUCCUUCUCACUGGGUUGUUUCUCUCGGAACUGCUGGAUCAGGAGUCGACAUUGCCGAGUGGUGUGUUUAGGAUAAAUCAGAUUACCCUCUUCAUCCUUCUUCGUAUGAGUGUGACAUGGUAAAUCCAACACAUCAUUUCCCGCUUGAUCUUUUACCUUCUUAGGGGUCCAGGGCCCCUUAGGUUUUCCUUUAAACUUUGCUUGAACUACGGCCGCAAUUUCACCAGGCGCUGCAGGUUCAGCCUUACAUUUCUGUUUCCGAUUGAAAUUGCCUCCCCCGGCGUCCUGGCCGCCUGGUUUACUCUUUCCGCUGUGGAGUUGAUCCUCUUCUUCUCCGUUAGCGUAUCGAGUGGCUAUUUCCAUCAUCCGAGUGAGGGUCAUAUCUCCAGUACGACCGAAUUUCAGGACCAGCUCUCGAUAUUUAACGCCUUGCUUGAAGGCACACACUGCUUGGUGCUCAGAUACAUUUUCCACUGUGUGAUGCAAAGUGGUCCACCUCUGAAUGUAAUCUCUUAGAGUCUCACUCGGUUUCUGUAUGCAAUGUUACAAUUCUGUUAACCCAGCUGGUCACUUGCAAGUGCCCUCAAAAAUCCUGACGAACACUCGGGCAAGCUCUUCCCAACUGAAUAUACUGUCAGGGGCUAACUGAGUCAACCAUGCUUUGGCUGACCCUUCCAACAUCAGAGGAAGAUGUUUCAUGGCCACUUCAUCAUUACCGCCACCAAUCUGCACAGCCACUCGGUAAUCGUCAAGCCAAGUUUCAGGAUUGGACUCUCUAGUGAACUUGCUGACUCCAGUCGCCAACUGAAGUUGGUGUUACAGUAUAUGUGGAUUGUACUAGCCCUUUCCAUCAGUUCGGACUUUUGGUUGUGUUGGCUAGUGCAUGAAGCUUAUCAUGGUAUCGGAGCUAAGGUCUUGAGUUUGAUAGCCCCCCUUUGUGUCCACGUAGAGGCCUCUUGAGUCAUACGUGAGUUUCAUGCGUCGUCGCUCUCUUCUGGUUGCACGUGUUAACUUGUCUUCCCCGUCACACGUGAGAGGGGGUGUUACAGUAUAUGUGGAUUGCACUAGCCCUUUCCAUCAGUUCGGACUUUUGGUUGCGUUGGCUAGUGCAUGAAGCUUAACAUUUGGGAGGAAACACUGCAACCCUGAUGGCUCUGCUGAAACAUUCUGGACCCGAAACAUGAACUCUGCUACCAGUCGGAUGAUUUCUGUCAAGGUCCGCCCUGUGUGCCCUGUUACGGUUGACUAGACCUUGAACAAGAAUAGAUCUCGCAUCAAAGCCUGUCUCUCUAGGGUCGGCCGGUACUCUGCACUCGCCGCUGUGAUGGCGUCUGUCAUCGUAUUGCCGAGGCACAUAUGAUCCGCUCCUCGGAGGAGGUGUGGGCGCUCGACGAUGGUUGUCGCGGUUGAGUCGGUGAUCAUACUGCCCACGACCUUCACGCCGCAGGGGCGAUCUUGGGUUGUGGGCCGACUAAACUGUGUCCGCCACCACGGAUCGGCUAUGGAUCCUAUUCCGCGACUGAGACACUGUUGUGUUAUGUUCUCCUACUGCCCGGAGUAAGGCCCGGAUCUGCAUCAGACCUCUGCCAGCCUCUGACUGGGAAGGCUAAAUUGACUCUGCUAUUCGGGCCGCAGCUGUGAGAUUUUGGAUCGGAGUGCGGUAUACCUUAGGUGGAGGCGGAAAAAACUAUCGUCGACUGGACUCAGGGAUCCGCUCCCGAGCACACUCGUCGAGUGCGCGCUGGAGGUUCUCCAAUUGAGUGUGCUCAGCUAAAUUUGCCAGGCGCACCUCUUCCAAGGCCCGAGCCUUGGGGGUUCCUCCAACGAUGGGCGUGUGGAGUGCAUCCAUGUUGCGGCGACGAAGUUGUUUCCUCUGCUGCGAAGAGAGGGGUUCGAGAUGGUACUCCUCGUGGGCGCGCGACGGAUCGCCGCCACCAUCCCCACCAUCUUCACGGCGGAAACCAGGCGGACUACGUGGUCCGUCGACCAUCAAGACUUCAGCCGCAGGGUCGCUGCUAUCGCACUCGGAUGCAGUCUCAACGGAGCCAGUCGAAUAGGCCGUGGAGAGUUUCAUUGGGCUCGAUUGCCGCGACUUGAUGGAUGACCGAAUGUCGAGCCACCGCGUGUUUCAUCCACCACUGAAGCCGCGACCGACCGGAUCGCUUGCGGCGGCGAACAGCGGGGAGAGAAGACACCAUGGGAGCCGACCGAUACUGGGUCGACGGCUGCCGGAGAAGGACGCCAUGUACGCACGCGCAAAAGUGCGUCGCCCCUCGGACGGGGAGCGCCUCGACGUCAAGGGGAGCUUCCUGAAGCCAGGCGGAGUCGUUGGUGAUAAAAACGAGCGCACCGAGACGGAUCUCGCGGCCCUCAGCCAAUCCACCGCCGGAAACCAUGAUGAUGGGGAUCAGAAAAAUUGCAACUUCAUCAACAAGUCGCUAAGACACCCGCCCCACGGUGGGCGCCAACUAUCGUGGUCCUAAGACUGGCAGUAAAAAGGGGGUAGGUAUGGAGAGGCAAGAUCUCAGCUAUGGUGAAGGUGUACACACAAGGUUUACGAGUUCAGGCCCUUCUCGGUGGAAGUAAAAGCCCUACAUCUCGGUGCCCGGAGGCAAUCGGCUGGAUUAUAUGUGUGUGGUGUUACAGGGGGUGCGAACCCUUGUGCCAGAGAAAGGGGGUGGCUUAUAUAGAGUGCGCCAGGACCCCAGCCAUCCUCCAUUACAAGAGGUUCAAUGUACAUAAAGACAGGGUGUUACUGAUAACGCCAGCCAUAAGUGCUAUUAAUGAUCUUAAAGACUACGGAGUGAACACCUGACCGUUGCAGUGCUGAGCGACUCAUGGUCUUCAGUAGGUCGAGUGAUUCCUUGUAUGGUCGAGUGCCUUCAGGUAGGAGGGGUACCCAAGUGAUAUGAUUGGUCGAGUGGAUGGCACUCGACACCUUCGACCGGGGGUUCUUUGUUGUCUCUUGGACUUCUUUGCUUCUAGGGUAGUGAGCUUGGGUAGGGCGUAUAGGUCAGGUCUAUGACCCUACCCCGGGUCUGUAUCCUCAUCAGGGAGGCCCCUCUUCUGAAACUCUACCACCUUCGUCACCCAGCUUCGUGUGAUGGCUCUUCGGUUGACUCCUCCGCUUCCCCCACCACCGCUAGAGCCGGAUUAAAUCUUCCCUUCCCCGCCGCCACCACCGUUAUGUGUUGUCUUGUGCGCGUGUGUUGGGCUUGUUGUGCUGUGCCCACAGCUGAACCUUGUGUUUGUGAGGGUGUGUUGGACUGGUGCCUGCGGUGGCGUUGUGUGUGUUUGUGGGUUUUGUCUGAUACCUUGUGAACGUUGUGCUCGGUGGUUGCUUUAUUUAUAAAGCGGGGUGAAAGCCUUUUUCGGUAAACUCUACCCCCUUCAGGACGCCUAGGAUAUGCUUCUUGGUCAUCAUGUCUUUCAUCGUCUCCAGUUUGGACCUAAACACUCGGGCCACGAGGUCUGGUUGGUCCUGCAAAUUUUGGCCUGGAAGUAGCGCGUCCUGUAUCUCGGGCCAGUUUGGGUUGCAAGUCAUAGUUAGGAAGAUGGCAGGUUUGCCGAACGUCGCCAGGGUUUCUGUGGUGUCCGCAUACGUCCACUUGGGAGUUUAACGGGUGCCAUCUACAUAAUAAAGAUACCAACAUUAAUUCUCUACAUUGUAAAAGGUGUGUACCAGAAGACAUUCAUGUAUUAGGCAGAAAGCAUAUGUAGGAGCAAGAUUAGCACGAAAAAUGACAAGAAAAAAGUAACCACAAGAUUAUAUUAUGAAAAAAGGAACCAUAGGACUACACAUAAAACGGUAGUACCUAUUACGAAAUAGAACAAGAAAGAUAUGUUUGCAAAGUACAUGAAAAUGGCAUCAAAAGAAUCAAGAUAGAAAUAAUGUAUGGAAGCUCCACCUGUGAUCCACAAUACGCUUCUCUGCCUUGGAGGAUGAAUUAGUUAGGGAGGAUGAUAAGACCUUCAGUUUGUCAACCUGCCAAGUUAAGCAAAUUGUAUUAUUAUUGCAAUCCAUGCUUCACCAAGUGUGUGCACAGUAACGUUGACGCUGAGUGUCCACCAAAUCAAUAUCAGAAGUCUAGAUUGAAAAAGGUAAUAUGAAAGCUGACAUUCUCGCGGUGUCACCAAUGCACAUUGGUAAUUGGUCCUUUGGAACCACACGACACAUGCUUGAAACUUUAGCAGAAGAAUCAACUAUUACGACCAUCAUCCCAAGUGUCCAACAAAUAUGAGUAAUAGUGCAUAGUGUAGAACUAUUCCAUGGCAAAUAUAUCUAAGAAGGAAUACAUUAUAGCAUAGUCCCAUGACUCAACAGAUCGAUUCUUUAGUAAUUAAGUUCAGAAAUGAAGUUCCAGGAACAAAACGAUAGAAGUAUGCACUUUGCAGCGCAAAGCAUGAAAAUAUUUCCCUAUUGGAGAUCUAAAGUAUUACUUCAAAAAAUGCAUGAGUGUGUUUCCAUUCACGUGAACUGUGUUUGUUUGGUCAUUGUCCAAAACUGGAUAGUUAAUUUCACAAUACGAAGAUAUCUAGCUGAACAAAGGUGUACAUAUAGAUCACAGAAAUACAUGCCUUUUGGAAAUGGACCUCUGAGGAAUGCCUAAUUGCCUUUUGUUCAAGAAUGGAGAAUCAAACCUGGAAGCUAUCCGAAAAUAUAUAACAAAUGCUACCUCAUAGGAUAUACCAGAGUGUACACAUAAUCUAUUUCUUCUACUGGUGCACCAAGAGUGGCAGUAAAAAUAUGAGGUCAAAUGCCUAUUAAAUAUAUGCACAGUAUAAAAGGUGUGUACCACAAGCAAACACAUUCAUGUAUUACUCAGAAAGCAUAUGCAGGAGACAGAUGUGAGGUAAAAACUGAGCACAAAAUGGUCGUAGAACCACAGCAGUAGCGCCAACACAAUUAAUCUAACAGAAAAGGUUGAUCAAAGUCAUCUCAGGUAGGAAAUCAGUCUACAAACUCCCUGGAGCAUCAAGGACACAUUAAGACAAGAGUGAUAACAUGAAGCAAUUACAUGCUUGCUGGUAUAAAUGACUCACACAAAGCUCAUGAAAAUCCAUAAACUUCACUCAAAUUAACACACACAAACAGGGCAAGAAUUCGUAAAUAACCAGACGUAGUAUCUAAAAAAUGUACAAAUUAUGUACACAAAUUUCUAUUGCCUACCGACCUAGCUCAAGGAAUGCACUCAGAUACUGAAAUUUAGGAGUAGUGAAUACACAGAUUACUAUUACCUACUGACCCACCUCAAGGAAACGGAUCCGAGCAGAGGUUGCCGACGCUGGACUCUGCAGUGCACCUCGCAAGCUCCUGCGCGAUGCUACGAUGGCCCCCUCCAGGACCACCACCUCCACCUACAAGAUCGAUCAAUCAAAACCAAAUAGCAUGCAGCAACAACGUGGAGAAAAAACGGGAGUGGAGUGGAGCAGACUAACACUUCCUCGGCGGAAGAGGGCGUGUCCGGUGCCGACGACGUCGGCAACGGUCCUGCGGUCUGAGAGGCGGCGGCAGCUACUCCAGCCGCCGGAUUCGACAGAGGCGACGGGAGGCGAGAGGAGAGGAAGUGAGCAUCUUUGAGGGUUCGGGGGAUCUUAUACUCGGCGAGGUUCAAACCCAGCACGAUCGGCAAUCCCCACGUUCUGAGUUGACUGGCGGUUGCACACGCACGGAGUGAGGCUGGUCGUAAGAGCAUCUCCAACCGUUCGGCCCCAGGAUGCCAAAAAAGAGCGGUCUGGGGCAUGCCGGCGCUAGAUCGGCCUUCUGGGGCUCGGUUCGCUCUCAGCCACGCGCCCACGGUCGCCGCGGGUUCAGCGAAGUACGUCUCAGUCUUUUUGCAAACUCGGCGACUUUUACACGAACUCGGCCAUAUUUCAUCCAAAUUUGUAAAAAACUUG
rnacentral:lncRNA from 1 species